rnacentral:sRNA from 1 species
GUCAACUACCCCGGACUGAAGUCCGAGGCUUGCAGGUGGAACGAUAGCCAUGAACAGCAUCUCAUACCCCCGCGUUCGGCUGGUUGACGGCAGCCCGGCUUGCGAUAUUGCAAGCCGCGAAGUAGUCCGCAGGCCCAGAGCACCCGCAGACUACGCACCGGAACAGCGCCUGCGUCGGACGGUUGGCCUUCUCGGUAUGUCCGCAGGCUGGACAUUGCCGAGAAGUGUUCGCUGGGUUAACCCA